UCCACCCAUCCCAAACAUCAGAAGAUUGAGGAAUGAUUAAGAGCCUGAGCUGGGGGCCUCUCUGCACUCUUUUGAGUUGACUUGAGGUGAACGCCACCCGCAGACACUGUGUAUCUGCUUCUUGGAUGUACGUGCUGACAACGCACAAAAUAAAAUAUUCCAGGUCCUCCAGGAGAACCACACAGUCCAGCUCCAGAGGAGUUUGCAGCCUUCAACAACUGUCCCCUGCAGGCCUUGCAUGGGUGUGUUCCCUGCAGGGCUGAGGAGCAGAGCUCUUCUGGAGGAGAUACAGAUAUUCAGUCUUUGCUGUCGCUUUCUGAGGGCAGUGCAGAUGAGAAGAAAGAGGAUUUUCUUGACAAGCAACACGUCAUCACUCUGCCAUGGUCAAAGAGCUCUUAAUGCUUACUUGUUCAUUGCUUUUUCCAUUUUGUAACCAGAGUAAAGCAAACAACUGAAAAAAGUGACCAAGUGAUGACCUGUCCAGGUACUGGAGAUUUUGAUUAUUAAUGUCUAUGAUGUUUCAAGGUUUGCAACUAAUAAAAGUUUGCAAAAUUAUAAGUU